rnacentral:rRNA from 1 species
GGCCCUUCGGGGUACUCGAGUGGCGAACGGGUGAGUAACACGUGGGUGAUCUGCCCUGCACUUUGGGAUAAGCCUGGGAAACUGGGUCUAAUACCGAAUAUGACCACGCUCUUCAUGGGGUGUGGUGGAAAGCUUUUGCGGUGUGGGAUGGGCCCGCGGCCUAUCAGCUUGUUGGUGGGGUAAUGGCCUACCAAGGCGACGACGGGUAGCCGGCCUGAGAGGGUGACCGGCCACACUGGGACUGAGAUACGGCCCAGACUCCUACGGGAGGCAGCAGUGGGGAAUAUUGCACAAUGGGCGCAAGCCUGAUGCAGCGACGCCGCGUGAGGGAUGACGGCCUUCGGGUUGUAAACCUCUUUCACCAGGGACGAAGCGCAAGUGACGGUACCUGGAGAAGAAGCACCGGCCAACUACGUGCCAGCAGCCGCGGUAAUACGUAGGGUGCGAGCGUUGUCCGGAAUUACUGGGCGUAAAGAGCUCGUAGGUGGUUUGUCGCGUUGUUCGUGAAAACUCACAGCUUAACUGUGGGCGUGCGGGCGAUACGGGCAGACUAGAGUACUGCAGGGGAGACUGGAAUUCCUGGUGUAGCGGUGGAAUGCGCAGAUAUCAGGAGGAACACCGGUGGCGAAGGCGGGUCUCUGGGCAGUAACUGACGCUGAGGAGCGAAAGCGUGGGGAGCGAACAGGAUUAGAUACCCUGGUAGUCCACGCCGUAAACGGUGGGUACUAGGUGUGGGUUCCUUCCUUGGGAUCCGUGCCGUAGCUAACGCAUUAAGUACCCCGCCUGGGGAGUACGGCCGCAAGGCUAAAACUCAAAGGAAU